rnacentral:rRNA from 1 species
ACUCCUACGGAAGGCAGCAGUGGGGAAUAUUGCACAAUGGGCGAAAGCCUGAUGCAGCAACGCCGCGUGAGUGAUGAAGGCCUUCGGGUCGUAAAGCUCUUUGAUCAGGGAUGAUAAUGACAGUACCUGAAAAACAAGCCACGGCUAACUACGUGCCAGCAGCCGCGGUAAU